rnacentral:piRNA from 1 species
UUGGUGAUAUAGUAGAAUCUGUGGC